rnacentral:rRNA from 1 species
AGAUGGGAGCUUGCUCCCUGAUGUUAGCGGCGGACGGGUGAGUAACACGUGGGUAACCUGCCUGUAAGACUGGGAUAACUCCGGGAAACCGGGGCUAAUACCGGAUGGUUGUUUGAACCGCAUGGUUCAAACAUAAAAGGUGGCUUCGGCUACCACUUACAGAUGGACCCGCGGCGCAUUAGCUAGUUGGUGAGGUAACGGCUCACCAAGGCAACGAUGCGUAGCCGACCUGAGAGGGUGAUCGGCCACACUGGGACUGAGACACGGCCCAGACUCCUACGGGAGGCAGCAGUAGGGAAUCUUCCGCAAUGGACGAAAGUCUGACGGAGCAACGCCGCGUGAGUGAUGAAGGUUUUCGGAUCGUAAAGCUCUGUUGUUAGGGAAGAACAAGUACCGUUCGAAUAGGGCGGUACCUUGACGGUACCUAACCAGAAAGCCACGGCUAACUACGUGCCAGCAGCCGCGGUAAUACGUAGGUGGCAAGCGUUGUCCGGAAUUAUUGGGCGUAAAGGGCUCGCAGGCGGUUUCUUAAGUCUGAUGUGAAAGCCCCCGGCUCAACCGGGGAGGGUCAUUGGAAACUGGGGAACUUGAGUGCAGAAGAGGAGAGUGGAAUUCCACGUGUAGCGGUGAAAUGCGUAGAGAUGUGGAGGAACACCAGUGGCGAAGGCGACUCUCUGGUCUGUAACUGACGCUGAGGAGC